rnacentral:rRNA from 1 species
GGGCGUAGAGAGCUCGUAGGUGGUUUUUCGCGUUGUUCGUGAAAUCUCACGGCUUAACUGUGAGCGUGCGGGCGAUACGGGCAGACUUGAGUACUGCAGGGGAGACUGGAAUUCCUGGUGUAGCGGUGGAAUGCGCAGAUAUCAGGAGGAACACCGGUGGCGAAGGCGGGUCUCUGGGCAGUAACUGACGCUGAGGAGCGAAAGCGUGGGGAGCGAACAGGAUUAGAUACCCUGGUAGUCCACGCCGUAAACGGUGGGUACUAGGUGUGGGUUUCCUUCCUUGGGAUCCGUGCCGUAGCUAACGCAUUAAGUACCCCGCCUGGGGAGUACGGCCGCAAGGCUAAAACUCAAAGAAAUUGACGGGGGCCCGCACAAGCGGCGGAGCAUGUGGAUUAAUUCGAUGCAACGCGAAGAACCUUACCUGGGUUUGACAUGCACAGGACGCCGGCAGAGAUGUCGGUUCCCUUGUGGCCUGUGUGCAGGUGGUGCAUGGCUGUCGUCAGCUCGUGUCGUGAGAUGUUGGGUUAAGUCCCGCAACGAGCGCAACCCUUGUCUCAUGUUGCCAGCGGGUAAUGCCGGGGACUCGUGAGAGACUGCCGGGGUCAACUCGGAGGAAGGUGGGGAUGACGUCAAGUCAUCAUGCCCCUUAUGUCCAGGGCUUCACACAUGCUACAAUGGCCGGUACAAAGGGCUGCGAUGCCGCGAGGUUAAGCGAAUCCUCUUAAAGCCGGUCUCAGUUCGGAUCGGGGUCUGCAACUCGACCCCGUGAAGUCGGAGUCGCUAGUAAUCGCAGAUCAGCA